AUGUCCUCCAACACGGGAGGUUCGGUUGUCCUUGAGGACAUGAGGGGUGUGGCUAAAAGGCUAAAGAAGAGAAGCAAUGUGUCUGCUCAUACGACUAAACAUUCCAAGAAAGACCCCUUGCAGCGCAUGCAUGCUAAGCUUGCUUCAUCUGACAAUGUGGACUUCGUUAAAGCAUCUGCUGCCACUAGUUCUCAUGCAGCAGCCAAGUUGUUGUCAUCUGUUGUUGCUGUGUUGACCGGCAAUGAAGGUGCAACAUCAGGGGGCUCUAAUGAAUUGAUCUCCCCAAGAUCAGCUGACGUUGCACCGGCAUUGGUAUCGAUGAGGCAAGGGCUCGAAGGUAGCCCACUACUGUCUGAUCUUCCACACCAACCACACCAGCCUAAGGGUCCGGCAGUCACGCAACAAGGACAUCAGGCUGGCCCGCAUGAUCGUGCUGCUCAUACGCACACUGUUUCCAAAGCUGCUCCACACGUUGCUGACAAGAAAUCAGCUAAACAGGCAGUCGGUACUAGGAAGAGCACUCGGAACAAAGCUGAUCAGCCAGGCAACGUGCAUCGUCAGGACAUAGGGUAUGUGUCUGCGUCAACCUUCUUCCCGCCUGCCCCCAGGGCAAGAUCGUCGAUCUAG
rnacentral:rRNA from 1 species